rnacentral:rRNA from 1 species
AGUGAACGCUGGCGGUAGGCCUAACACAUGCAAGUCGAACGACAGCACAGUAAGAGCUUGCCCUUACGGGUGGCGAGUGGCGGACGGGUGAGGAAUACAUCGGAAUCUUCUUUUUCGUGGGGGAUAACGUAGGGAAACUUACGCUACUACAGCAUAUAUCCUACGGGAGAAAGCAGGGGUUCAUCGGACUUUUGCCGAUUCAUAGAGCUGAUGUCGCAUUAGCUAGUUGGCGGGGUAAGGGCUCACCAAGGCGACGAUCCGUAGCUGAUCUGAGAGGAUGAUCAGCCACACUGGAACUGAGACACGGUCCAGACUCCUACGGGAGGCAGCAGUGGGGAAUAUUGGACAAUGGGCGCAAGCCUGAUCCAGCCAUACCGCGUGGGUGAAGAAGGCCUUCGGGUUGUAAAGCCCUUUUGUUGGGAAAGAAAAGCAGCAGGUUAAUACACCGCUGUUCUGACGGUACCCAAAGAGUAAGCACCGGCUAACUUCGUG